ACUGAAGUCGGUUGCAGUUCCACUGAGCUCCUCGUCCCGGACUGCGUGCUUGUUUACUCAUCUUGCUGUUGAGAAGACAGUCGGAUGCAGAACACUAUGGCCGCCUACCCUAUGGAUGCAGCUUCAUACAUCUUUCAAGAUGAGAGGGAGGCUCCAGUUUCUCACGCCUCGUGGGAUGACGAAGGAGAGAGAGGACAUGCGGACGUGCCUAACCCACAUACCGAGUCGUGAAGAAAGAAUCACCCUUUGUUCACUACUUUCCCCGCCUCUCCUGCGUCGUGAGAGAGAUGCUCAUCAAAAAGCCAAAUGGGACGCGACCAAAUUUGGGAAUAUUGACGUGGAGCUGCCCAUCCAGCUGCUGUGGCUCCUUCCAGUCUGUCAGCCAGCCAGACUCAUCAGCCGUGGACAAGUGCCCAGAAGGUAAAUGAAACCACUCCUGUGUCUCAGGCACAAUACCUCGAUUGAGUUCACACAGCGCAGUCUUGAAUUAUAAACACACGCACUUCUACCCACAUAUGCAAAUCAAAAGUCUUAUCUUACUCGAAA